rnacentral:rRNA from 1 species
GAUGAACGCUGGCGGCGUGCUUAACACAUGCAAGUCGAACGAUGAAGCCCAGCUUGCUGGGUGGAUUAGUGGCGAACGGGUGAGUAACACGUGAGUAACCUGCCCUUAACUCUGGGAUAAGCCUGGUAAACUGGGUCUAAUACCGGAUAGGAGCGUCCACCGCAUGGUGGGUGUUGGAAAGAUUUAUCGGUUUUGGAUGGACUCGCGGCCUAUCAGCUUGUUGGUGAGGCAAUGGCUCACCAAGGCGACGACGGGUAGCCGGCCUGAGAGGGUGACCGGCCACACUGGGACUGAGACACGGCCCAGACUCCUACGGGAGGCAGCAGUGGGGAAUAUUGCACAAUGGGCGCAAGCCUGAUGCAGCGACGCCGCGUGAGGGAUGACGGCCUUCGGGUUGUAAACCUCUUUCAGUAGGGAAGAAGCGAAAGUGACGGUACCUGCAGAAGAAGCACCGGCUAACUACGUG